GUUGUCGUGGCCGAGUGGUUCAGGCGACGGCCUACAAAUCUUUUGGGAUCUUCCCACGCAGGUUCGAAUCCUGCCGACACCC
rnacentral:tRNA from 1 species